CUCCGUCUCCGUGAAUUGAACAUCCAGAGUUGUCAGGGAUUAUCAAGCCUAGAAUUGGGCUCGAUAACUGCACCUCUCUUCAGCACUUGUGCAUAAGGGAUUGCCCUAAUCUGAUAUCAAUUCCAAUCACGCAGUGCAUGCCGUCUCUCUGGAGAUUGGAUAUCAUCAGAUCGUGUGAGAGAUUAUCAAGCCUAGUUGGGCUCGACUACUGCAACUCUCUUAAGCAAUUGUAGGAUUCCACUUUCUUUCCAAAUUAGGGAUUUAGGUUUUCUUCUUUGUCUGAUGAAGGAAGGACUGAUGAAGGAGAUGCAGAGGUCGAAGGAGGGACUGAUGAAGAAGAUGCAGAGGAAGAAGACGGAGGUGAGGUUUCAAAGUUGGGAAAGUUGAAAUGUAGGGAUGAACAUGAUUCUGUACAAGAUGUAAAAGCAGAUGACCUACGGCAGAUGCUUCUAGCCAUGACAGAGGAGUAUUUAUAAAUCUGUUCUCAAAUCUAAAGGUUCAAUUAAUGAGGUCAAUCAAUAUUUGUUCUGCUAUUUGCCUUUAACACCUUAUACUUUCAUGUUUAUACACUGGGAAUUUUGUUCUAGAUACUGCAUGCUUGACCAUGCUUAGAUGUUUCAUCUAGUUUCUCAAUGAAUUUUGUUCCAGGGGUUGGCUGUUGUUGCAAUAUUGAGGCACUUUAGAUACCCUUGCAGGUUCAUUUAGCACCUGGACGCAAAUUUAAUUUUCAAAAAUAUAACAAAAGAUCAUUAGAAGAUGACUUUAAGGUGGUUGUGGGAAUCAUGUGCUAUUGCCAACCUUUUCUUUCUUCAUGUUCUGGACUACGAUGACGCUCUAUUUGCUACUCAAUAUGGUUUCAACAAUGAAGAAGUCGAUCUUUGAUGAACAAACUAACAAGGCCUUAAGGAAAUUGCAAAAGAAUGCUCAAAAGAAGAGAAGGCAUCAUGAUGUGGUUCGAGCUGAAUGGGCAAAUCAUGUUAUACAGUUCGAAUUUUGGUUCUGUUUAAGGUAGAUGAGUAGCACUUGGAACUGCUUUUGUGCAUUCAUAUAUAACUGAUGGAAAGUGUUGAUGAACUUAAAUUAUGCAUGCAGUUGCUCUGUCUAGCUACUCUUUCUUUACCUUAUAGGUUUUUGACUUGGUGCACUAGGUAAAUGAUCGAGAUAAGAUGGUUUUUUGGUUCUCUUGAUCAUAAUGUAACUGUUGGCUAGGUUUAGAGUUGGAACUAUGGAUUGUAUUUUGGAUGAUGUUGAUGCAAUUAAUGAAACGAAGCCAUCAUUUUCAAUGCUGAUUUUAGUCCAA